UCUCUCUUUCUCCCUCAUUUCUUCACUCUCUCGACCGACACCCUAAGCGGGAGAAGGAGGCGGCGCCUCCUCGUCGCCCGUCGCUAGGAGCUCCGGUCGGCGCUUCUCUUGCGUCGCCGGAGAUUUUGAUGCCCCUCCCUCACAACCCUCGGUCUCAAACUCAUCUUAGAACAAAAUCCCCAAUUUCAAAACCCUAGCCUCAUCUCAAAAACUCUCGCUUCGUCUCCACCGCCUUCCGAAACCGGCGUCGACGCCGGCCGUGAACUCAGCGAGGCGGAGCUGUCGUCGCGGCUCCGUGAGGCGCUCUCAAUUUGAGUCGCGGCGGAGCCCUCGGCAUCUCCGUCGCGCCCUCCCGUUCCAUCGUCGUUUCAUCCUUCACCGGCGGGGUCGCCAACAGGAAAGAGGCGUCGCCUCUCUUCCUCCCUGCUUCCGGCGUUCUCCUGGCCUUUUUCCGACGAAUCCUCCAUCACCGCCAUCGCGGAUCGCCGCUGUUGCCUCUCAUCCUUUCACGGCAUCUAAGCGCCGUCACUGCCAUCUACGGCUGAAGCUGACGCCGUUCGGCUUGCUGUGCAGACCAGCGCCGCCGCCACCGGUCGGCCUUGAAGCUAAGUUCUUCUUCCCCCCUCUUUUUUUUUUUAGUCUAAGCUUGGUCUAUCUAGUUUGAGUUUGGGCAGGAGCUAUGAUAAAAUGUUGUUGAUUUUCUCUUCGGAUAGAGCUCAUUUAAUUGUUGGGCUGAGUUCAUGAACUACUAUGUGUGAAUGCUGUAGGGAGAUAGUUAUGAUUUGCUAUUAUUCUUGGUCUAUGAAACAGACUAUGGUUUGCUUGCACUAUUUGUUAUGAAGCUGAACUUAAUGUGGUUAUACUUGUGCCCCUAAGUCCUUAUAUUAUGUGGUGUUUGAUCUAAACAUGAUGCAAGAUAAGGUGUUGGGGUGUGGAGGUGAUUACCUCUUGAUGUAGUGAGGCUGCCCUUGUUACUGCUUGAGAUCGGUUCCUAAGGCACCAAGCUUUCUACUCUCUCUAAACUUUGCUGAUUAUUAUGAGAAGUGUGGGAGGGAGUUCGAAUGUGGUGUGGGGAGGAUUUUUAUAGGCUGAUUGUGUACUUGUAAGCCUUAAAUGAGGCUGCUGAAACUCUUGUCUCUAUCCAGCAGUAUAUCCCCCCCAUCCUUGAUCUUUUGCAGCAACUUUAACUGACAUUUUGAUGGUAUACUAAGGGUACAGCGAGAGGAAUGCAGGGCUGUUGGGAGCAGGGGAGUUCAAGCUGACUUUGCUUCCUUUGGCAAGUCUUUUGGUCUACUCUAACAAAGGAGAAAGAGACACUUGGCUGCCACCCAACUGUCCCGGGAGGUAGGCUCGCUGCCUUGGCUCACCGGCUGACCGGGUGGGGUCGCGGUGAUGUGCGGCUUGGGCUCGGAAAAGAAGAGGCCCAACGUGUAGUAAAAGAGUCGGCCUUAGCUCUUAGCCUUUUAGCCCAUACUUGUAAAUUUGUGUACUAGCAUUCCCAUUUCCUUUUUCUUAAAUUCUUACUUCCCAUGUGUUUCACUAUGUAAGCUAGAGUGUGUUUGAUAGUAGUUGCAUUUUCUUAGCUAGAAAACGAACUCUUCAUCUUCUUUCUCGUUAGUUAUGGCUCGUAAAUAGUAAUGGAGUAGUUUUAGUUCA